rnacentral:rRNA from 1 species
GAUGAACGCUGGCGGCGUGCCUAAUACAUGCAAGUCGAGCGAACAGAUGAGGAGCUUGCUCCUCUGACGUUAGCGGCGGACGGGUGAGUAACACGUGGAUAACCUACCUAUAAGACUGGGAUAACUUCGGGAAACCGGAGCUAAUACCGGAUAAUAUAUUGAACCGCAUGGUUCAAUAGUGAAAGACGGUUUUGCUGUCACUUAUAGAUGGAUCCGCGCCGCAUUAGCUAGUUGGUAAGGUAACGGCUUACCAAGGCAACGAUGAGUAGCCGACCUGAGAGGGUGAUCGGCCACACUGGAACUGAGACACGGCCCAGACUCCUACGGGAGGCAGCAGUAGGGAAUCUUCCGCAAAGGGCGAAAGCCUGACGGAGCAACGCCGCGUGAGUGAUGAAGGUCUUCGGAUCGUAAAACUCUGUUAUUAGGGAAGAACAAAUGUGUAAGUAACUAUGCACGUCUUGACGGUACCUAAUCAGAAAGCCACGGCUAACUACGUG